ACCCGUCGUUGCCCGCACUUCUCACCGCAUCGAGAUGCCCUGGAGAACCUCGAAGAGCGCCAGCUCAGAACCGUGCAGCUCCAAAGCAUCCCGGAGCACCACCGCAGUCCCGGCGGCAGCUGUUCCCAUCGUCACCUCAAACGUGCGCUGGACCCUCCCAGCACCCCUCUUCACUAGAAGAUCACCGGAGCACUGCCGCUGCAGUUUUCCUCUGUUUAAGGUUAGCACGCCACACAUAGGACAUUUUUUGACAAAUCAUGGACUGCCACAUGGCACCCGCACAGCACAGCAUCAACAUCUUCAAAACACUGCCACAGUAGAGUUUUCGCCACAUUCAUAUCAAUUUUCCUUUAGCUAACUUGAGAUCUGUAAAACCAAAUCGAGUGAUUCUUUUCCUACAUGUCUAUAUUGAUCUCUAUCUAGUAGAAUCAUUUUUUUACUCCCAAACUUUUCAAAUUGAGCAAUUCAAAUUUGAAUUCGAAACUUCAUUUGACCUUAUCUUACAACCCGUAUAUCGAAUUUGAAUGAUUCCUUUUGCCCGUGAAACCCUUGUACCAAAUACUUGCUGAUCACAUCUUGUGUACUCUAUAUUCAAAUAAUUCUUGAACUGUUUUGAAUUCAAAUUCAACCCACACUUCAUCUCGCUAUAACUUGUGUUGUAGUAUUUCUUUUCAAUUAAUUCUUUCGCCAAAUGAGUCCAUAUGGCAUAUGCAAUAUGUCAAACAACUUGCAUGUUGUUCUUCAAAUACUUUUGACCUUGUUCUAUAUUAUCUCAGGCAUAAGCUUUUAUAGCAAUAUCUCUCUCUGUAUUAACUCUUGUGAGUUGAUCCUUCUACCUUCACCUUCUAGCACCAUCGAGAACCUAUAUCAUAUAAUAGGCCUAGUCAUGUUGUUCUUGUUCAACCUUGUCAUAUUUGUUUUGUUGUUCUUUUGGUUCUUCUAUAUGGCAUGGUUAUUGAUUUGAGUUCUUUCUUUAACGAUAGAUUGCUCAGAGCGUGACGAGUAGAAUUAUCAGGAUUAUGAGUGCGACGAUCUUCGCCAAAUAUACCAGGCAAGUUACACCUUGAUCAUGCUUCAUCCUAUUUUUUCAUGAAUGUAGUAUAUAUAUAUCACAUUACUAUAUUAUGCAUAUGUGUAGGAAUAUUAUGGUAGUAUGAUAUUGCUAUUGAGUUUCAGCUUAGUAUGGCCUUAUUGUAGAUUGUGGUAGUGUGUUCUUGCUAUGUUAUGUAGAUGGGGAUUGGUUCGUGUAUACAUUGAGCUUAUGUGAGGAUUAUAUAUAUAAUUAACUAAGUAGUAAUUAAUGAUAUAAUUCACCUGUGGGCGGAACUGGUAUUGAUGGGUGGUUUCAAGAACAUCAUGUUUAUACCCUCUGAAUGUAAGUGGACGGCCGCCCAGGCUCAAAAAGAUCAGACAGACUUAGUGACUAGUAGCUUCCAUGCGCAACCACUAGCUAAAUGGGCUCUGGCUUAGUUGAGUAGGUUGUGGGAUCCUCACCCAGUUAAGCUAGCAGAUGUAGAUAUGAGUAGGUGUAUCGGCUGCUGGUGGGUGGAGGUGACUACUUCUAAAAGACUUCGUCUCAAUCUUCGGGUUGAGUCUAGUGGGUAAAGUGUGCAAAACUCUACAGAUUAUUAAAAACUAAUCAUGAUUAGCCGUGCCCCGGUUAUGGGCAAAUUUUGAGCCACUAUGCCAUUACAGUUGUUGGGUGAUCUUGAAAGAUGAUACCUUAAUAAAAUUUUGUGGGAAAUUUAAUAAUGGGGAUAGGUUGGAGUUGGAUUGCCCAAUUCAGCCAUGUGUAUUUAAUUGUAGCAAGACAAAAAUAAAAUUGGACUAUUAUAUUAAGUAGUUAUCAGGUAAAAAUUAGCUUUCUACAAAGCAACCACUACACAAUCCUCUUGAUAUACCUUGCAUAUAGAUGUAGGUCUAUUAUAUCAUUCCUUGUGUGACUUGCCAAUACAUUCAAAGUAUUGACCAUCCGUGAAUGCAACGUUUCAUGUUGCAGAUUUUGUACGACGAGUGAGUGAUACGAUGUAGGGUUACGAUGUCUAUACUCGACAUUUUCCUGUGGUGUUGAUGGAUUCCAUGGAGAUUUUAAUUGCUUUUUUGAUGCAUUUUGUUUGUAUGAGCUAUGGAGGUAUGUAUUAUACUAAAUUCUGGAUCUACGAUGUAAUAUUAUGACAUGUGGUUUAUUCUUGAUAUUACAUCUUGU
rnacentral:lncRNA from 1 species